rnacentral:misc_RNA from 1 species
CAGGAACGCAGCUUUACUAUGCAAAGCGCGCCGCGGACGAGUGCACCGGUGGUGCACCGCUUCGGCCUCCUCCGCCAGGCGCCGCCUAUCGCGAUUCGACAGCACACGUCUCUGUGGCGCUUCGCGGCAUCAACAGCAUCGGCGGGCACUCUUCUCCUCAGCCACAGCGGCAGUGGCGGCGGCUCGGCGGUAGCGUGUAGCUGUCCGUCGUUCCAGCGCGCGCACAUCCGCACGGUCGUUCCUCCUCGCCCGGCUGUAACGACGCUUGUAUACCUGGACCACUCCGGUCGAGCGGUGCGCACCGGCGUCGAGACGGAUCUCUCGUUCAUCCGCACCCGUGACAACAAGUUCUACCUGCAGCGGGUGCUGCCCAAUGGGGAAGUUGUGCGGUGGUUGGCGCCUGGCCUCAACUACCUCAAGAACGUCACCAACUUCGAAACGUACUCGCUCAACGAGAUCGAUGAGAAUGGUGGCAUCGUUAUACCUGCCGAUGUGAUGCCGACGGCGGCCCACGACGCGCCAGGCUUCCGCGACGCGAUCUUCUACAUUACAAAGCUUGAGGCGACGAGCAAGUUCACGCGCAAGGAUCGCCGUCGCUGGCACCGACGCCUCUUCGCGCACUGGAAAGAAAGCCCGGAGAAGUACCUGAACCACACGCUGGGCACCUACGGCAUUAUCUUCCUCGUCGUGCUUUGGGUUUGCGUGCGAGGCUUCCACAGCAUCAAGAACCAAAAGCCGUUCUGGGAUAUCAACGUGUAUGGCCACACCGACGAGGAGCGGGAGCGCACCGACCCGUGGCUGCGGCUGAAGCGUUUCUCGGAGCGCCACCCGGAGCAUGAGGGGAUGGACAUGACCGUGACGAUGUUAUCGCCUGGCCAGUCGCGGCUGUCGAGUGCGCGGUCCGAGCUGCGUGAGUCAGACUUCACAGAUCCGCACUACCACAGCGAGUUCUGGUGGAAGGUGCGGCACUGCUACUACUACGGCCACUGGCCAAAGGGCAUGGCAGAGUAGCCGGGAAGCUUGAGCGCUCAAACGCAAGCGCUCACGCACCCGCGUAGGGUAUGCGUGUGUGCAUGUGUGUCUAUAGAUGUGCGUUGGCGGCAAGUGGAAACGCGAUGAUGUGAGAAUCACUGAUUUCCGUGCAUGGUCGUGGUGUGUCCGUGUCCACGCAUCCGGAAAGCGGGGAGGGAGGCUGUCUCACGUGAUGCUUCUGUGAAGGUGUUCACGGGCGCACCUAUCGAAUGAGCAAAGAGUG